AUUGAACGCUGGCGGCAGGCUUAACACAUGCAAGUCGAGCGAUCGGCGGACGGGUGAGUAAUGUCUGGGAAACAGCCUGAUGGAGGGGGAUAACUACUGGAAACGGUAGCUAAUACAGCAUACCAUCUGAUGUGCCCCGAUGGGAUUAGCUUGUUGGUGGGGUAACGGCUCACCAAGGCGACGUUCCCUAGCGGGGCUGAGAGGAUGACCAGCCACACUGGAACUGAGACACGGUCCAGACUCCUACGGGAGGAAGCAGUGGGGAAUAUUGCACAAUGGGCGAAAGCCUGAUGCAGCCAGGCCGCGUGGAGGAAGAAGGACUUCGGGUGGUAAAGUACGUUUGUUAGGGAAGCGGUACCUAAAGAAUAAGCAACGGCUAACUACGUGCCAGCAGCCGCGGUAAUAC
rnacentral:rRNA from 1 species